GCCUGGCUGGCUCAGUUGGUAGAGCAUGAGACUCUUGAUCUCAGGGUGGUAAGUUCGAGCCCCAUGUUGGGUG
rnacentral:tRNA from 1 species